CAGCAGCCGGGGGAAUACGAAGGGUGCAAGCGUUACUCGGAAUUACUGGGCGUAAAGCGUGCGUAGGUGGUGGUUUAAGUCCGUUGUGAAAGCCCUGGGCUCAACCUGGGAAUUGCAGUGGAUACUGGGUCACUAGAGUGUGGUAGAGGAUAGUGGAAUUUCCGGUGUAGCAGUGAAAUGCGUAGAGAUCGGAAGGAACAUCUGUGGCGAAGGCGACUAUCUGGGCCAACACUGACACUGAGGCACGAAAGCGUGGGGAGCAAACAGGAUUAGAGACCCCCGUAGUCCCUGUCUCUUAUAC
rnacentral:rRNA from 1 species